GCAUGUGCUUAAACUCAUUUUUCCCAGGCAGAGACUCCCAAGUCCUGCUGGUGGAGGUCCGUUAGCACAGCAUUCUGGGUAGGUGAGAGGGCUGGUUGUUGUUUUCUCUAUGUUUUGCAACUGAAAUAAGAAGACUUCUACCUCAGGGCUGUCAACCUGGCACCUGCUGCUCAUGUUGGUUUAAUGAGGAAAAAGAAAUAAAGGCACAGAGUGAGGCCCAGAAGCCUCAGCAGCACCUGCAGGCCAUGUGAAUGAAUUGGGAGAAACAGUUUCAAGUUUGUGGAAGAAGCCAUUAGGAGCAGUAGGGCCUGCAUAAUUUCCUCAGGAGCUGGAUGGUGCUGCUGGAAGUGAAAGACAGGCACUGGUAUUCGAGGAGAAUAAGGAUCUGACUGCUUCCAGAUGGCGACCUUUUCGGGUGUCAAACGUGCUGACAUAAGAGAGGAUAGAACUGGUAUUGUUGCCUGUUACUCCUUGAAAAUAAAUGCUAAGUAAGUGGUCCAUAUUCAUAAGCAGCAUAAUGUUAGAAGAGCAAACACACAAUAUCAUGGCUGUUUUGUGAAUACAAAAAUUGGGAACCUGCAGUUUUUUCUGGUCACAGAAGGAAAAAAGGUGAUCUCUUCUGGCAUCAUGAUUACAUGAGCAGACCACUCAUGUGAAUAUUAAGUUUGUGGGGAGCCAGCCACUUGCCAGUGCUGUCUGCACCAGAUCUGAAAAGUAACCUCACAGUGACAGAUCUCACAGUGACAUGAAAGUUACUGUGCUGGUCCAUAUUAAUCCAAAGGCUAUCGAGAAACAGGAUCGCUGUGGGUGGCCAAAUCCAAAACUGCAACUAUGGCAUGGUGGCACCUCCCUCACCAUGUUUCCAGGCUGAACCACUCAUGAAGAACAUGGUCAUACAGACAAGCCUUGAAAGUGUUGCUUUUUGCUUUUCUAUCACUCCCUGGUCCUAGGGGAGACUACCACAGG